GACGAACCGUGCGAACGUUGUUCGGAAUCACUGGGCUUAAAGGGCGCGUAGGCGGGCCACCAAGUCAGGGGUGAAAUCCUCCGGCUCAACCGGAGAACAGCUUUUGAUACUGGUGGUCUCGAGUGGGGUAGGGGCAUGUGGAACUUCCGGUGGAGCGGUGAAAUGCGUAGAUAUCGGAAGGAACGCCGGUGGCGAAAGCGACGUGCUGGACCCCUUCUGACGCUGAGGCGCGAAAGCUAGGGUAGCAAACGGG
rnacentral:rRNA from 1 species